AUUGAACGCUGGCGGCAGGCCUAAUACAUGCAAGUCGAACGAGUGGCGGACGGGUGAGUGAUGUCUGGGAAACUGCCUGAUGGAGGGGGAUAACUACUGGAAAAGGUAGCUAAUACCGCAUACCAUCGGAUGUGCCCAGGUGGGAUUAGCUAGUAGGUGGGGUAACGGCUCACCAAGGCGACGAUCCCUAGCUGGUCUGAGAGGAUGACCAGACACACUGGAACUGAGACACGGUCCAGACUCCUACGGGAGGCAGCAGUGGGGAAUAUUGGGCAAUGGACGCAAGCCUGAUGCAGCCAUGCCGCGUGUAUGAAGAAGGCCUUCGGGUUGUAAAGUACUUUCGGCUGGGAGGCGGUACCCGCAGAGGAAGCACCGGCUAACUACGUGCCAGCAGCCGCGGUAAUAC
rnacentral:rRNA from 1 species